GAGGGGGGUGGCUGGUGAUGGCGGCGGCGGCGGCAGCAGCGGCGGCGGGCGGCCUACGCUGGGUGCUUGCCGCGCUCUGCUUGGGCUGCGCCGCGGGGGGGGACGCGUCAGGCCCGCGGGUGCUGGGCUUUUGCUUGGAAGAGGACGGAGACGGGGGCGAGGGUCCAGUUUGGGCCCGGGGCCGGGUGGUCCGGGCCGCGCCCGGGGCCGCCUUCCGCUUGCGGCUCUUCGGCUCCGGCUUCGCCAACCGCUCGUGGCCUUGGGUGGCCUUCGCUCCAGUGGGUGCGGGCUGCCCGGAGGGGGGAGGGGAGUUGAAGGCGGGGGGCGCGCGCGGGGCCGGGGGCGCGGGCGCGCCCCUGAGCGUGAACCCCGAGGCCGUGCGGCCUCGCUCGGCGUUGCUCGCAGUGCGCGUGGAGCCCGGCGGCCCCGCGGGGGGCACGCGCUACCGCUUGUGCAGCCGCGGGGGUCCCGAGGGGCGCUGGAUGCCCGCGGCCGAGGGGGACUCGCUCGCGGUUGAGGAGGCACCCCUGCUGCCCUGGGCACUGGGCCUGUUGGCGGCCGCGCUGCUGGGGCUGGCGGCGCUGGCCAGGGGGCUGCAGCUGAGCGCCCUGGCCCUGGAGCCGGCCGAGGUGCAGGUGCUGCGCGAGAGCGGGUCGGAAGCGGAGCGGGCGGCCGCUCGGCGCCUGGAGCCCCUGCGGCGCUGGGGCAGCUUCGCCCUGUGCGCACUGCUGCUGCUGGCCAGUCUGGCCCAGGCCGCGCUCGCCGUGCUCCUUUACCGCGCCGUGGGCCAAAGAGCUGUGCCCGCCGUGCUGGGCAGCGCGGGCCUCGUCUACCUGGUGGGCGAGGUGGCGCCCGCGGCCGUCAGCGGCCGCUGGGGCCUGAGCCUGGCCCCCCGCGCGCUAGGGCUCACCCGCCUGGCAGUCCUGCUCACUUUCCCCGUGGCCUUGCCCGUGGGCAAGCUUCUGGAGCUGGCUCUGCGCCAGGAAGGCGGGCGGCUGCGGGAGCGUGUGGUGGAUCUGGCCCGGGGCACCGACCCCUACAACGAAUUUGUGAGGGAGGAGUUCAGCAAGGGGGCCCUGAGGUGCAAAACGGUGGAGGAUGUUCUCACCCCGCUGAAGGAUUGUUUCAUGCUGGAUGCUUCGGCCGUACUGGACUUCGGCGUCAUGUCCACCAUCAUGCAGAGUGGCUACACCCGUAUCCCAGUGUACGAGGAAGAACGCUCCAACAUCGUGGACAUGCUCUACCUCAAGGACUUAGCCUUCGUGGACCCGGAGGACUGCACCCCGCUCAGCACCAUUAUCCGAUUCUACAACCACCCGCUCCACUUUGUCUUCAAUGACACCAAGCUGGAUGCCGUCCUGGAGGAAUUCAAACGAGGGAAGUCACACCUGGCCAUCGUACAGAAGGUGAACAAUGAGGGUGAGGGAGACCCUUUCUAUGAGGUGAUGGGUCUUGUCACACUGGAGGAUGUCAUUGAAGAGAUCAUUAAAUCAGAGAUCCUGGAUGAGUCUGAUGACUAUGGAGAAAACAAGGUGAAGAAGAAACCUACUUCUCUGAGCACCCCCAUAGAACGAAAGAAAGAGGAGUUCUCCUUGUUCAAAGGGUCUGACAAUGAGCUCAAAGUGAAGAUCUCUCCCCAGCUGCUCCUGGCCACCCAACGUUUCCUCUCCCGAGAGGUGGACUUAUUUAGCCCACUACGAAUCUCAGAGAAGGUCCUGCUCCACCUGCUGAAGCAUCCCAGUGUCAACCAGGAAGUGAAGUUUGAUGAAUGCAACCGACUGGCUGCAGACCAUUACCUGUACCAGCGAAAUCAGCCAGUUAACUACUUCAUUCUCAUCCUGCAGGGCAGGGUUGAGGUGGAGAUUGGGAAGGAGGGCCUCAAGUUUGAAAAUGGAGCCUUCACUUACUAUGGUGUGUCUGCCCUUUCAGUGCCAUCCUCAGUUCAUCAGUCCCCAGUGUCUUCAAUUCGGCCCACCCGACGUGACCUGCAGUCCGAGCCAGCAGAGAGUACCCACUACUCUUCUACGUAUUGUCCUGACUACACCGUGAGGGCCCUCUCUGACCUGCAGUUCAUUAAGGUAACUCGACUGCAGUACCUCAAUGCACUCAUGGCAUCACGUGCCCAGAAUUCCCCUCAGUCUCCUGAGAACCUGGACCUCCAAAUUGUCCCCAGCAGUCAGACCAAGCUACUCAAUAACAAGAUUGCUGCUGAAGCAGCCUUCCCAGUAAACAUUUCCCUCUUUGGCACAGUUGGAAACUGCAGUUGAUAGAUGACUGUGGACUAGUGAGAAUUUUUGUUUUUUAGAAAACACCCAAGGGACAGCCAACAGCAGACCGAACUCCCCAACAGAAGAGAGUCUUGGGAGGAACACAAGAGUUUAACUUCUUGCCAUGCAGCCCCAGAACUGGGGAUGGACAAGCAAGUGGGGAACUUGAGUGAGCCCAGGAGUAGCUUCAUGCCAACCUGUCCCCUCCCUUUCUGGCCACGUUUUAGGUGGCUUUUAGAGACAUGGGCUCUGGGCCUAAUGCCAGUGUUAGUAGCCUGCUGCAGAUAAGAACCCUGCCUCUUUUGUGGGGAUGGAAAUCAGCUGUAGCAUCAUUCUCCAGACCCUGCUCCUGGGACAAGAGUCAACAGGGAAUUAAAGAAAAGCCCAUCAUCUCGGAAUCCCAAGAUGCCCUUUCCCCUCUUUACCUCCCCCCUCCAAGGGGAUGCUUCAUAGCCUUAAGGCUGUGAUAGAGUAUUAUUUACUAUAUGAAUGCAGAAAUUAUACUCUUUAACACGUGGCUGUGACCUGCAUUCACCUCGUUUUUAAUUUGCCAAGUACCUGCUGUUGGCCGCACUUUGAGAGUGAGCCAAGAACACUGCAGCCUCUGCCCAAGGCUUUGCCCCAGAGGCUUCGUCUGUAGCAGUAAGCUCUGGCCUGCGAGGCAGUUCCCUUCUUCACAGCGCCACAUUUUUAUCUUCCCCUUUUAUGUCUUUCAUGUGCCAAACCCUAAGUACAAUAGUGGCAGGUGCACAGCCUGUCUGUUCCCUAAAACUCCUCCUGUGGAGGCUGCUGUUUGCCCAAAUAAAAAGCGCAAGCUGUUCCCACCCCCAGCUCUCUCUGAACUGAGGGUUCAGGUCACUCCUGUCUCUGCUCACCCCAAGCUGUAACUUCCCUUCCUGACUUGGUAUUGCUGCUUUAAAUUAUUCGAGGUGAUCCCUCAUGCUACCAAGGUGAAGGGCCCAGGUUUCACCCUUCUCCUAAUCCCAGGGCUAGUUGCUACUAAUAGUAUUGUGGUUGUUAUUUUUUUGAGGUCACAUGGAGCAAAGGGAGGUAUGCUACUAUUUGAAUCUCUCCUUACUAUGAUUCCAGGUCAUUGUUUAUAACAACCUGUUGGCUUUGUCAUACCCAGUCUUACACCUUCAUUUGCUCCUAAUGGUCUUAUAUACAGUGUAACCAACUAAUGUGAUUGACAUCCUUGGGAAGAGAGCUUUCUGAACUGUAGUCUCCUCUUCUCAAAAGAGAGAUAUUAAUUCCUGAUUUUAGGCAUAGAGUUUAGGAGAAGAGAGGGUUAUUCUUUCUUCACACUGGAGCUUCCCUUAAACUAACUGUUUGCCAUUACAUGAGUAAUGGAAGCCUUAAAACCAGAGAUCACUGCCUGAAAGGCAAAGUUAAGAGACCUAGUUUUAGAAGAAGCUGGUCCCUUUCUCAACUCUCAAGGGAAUCUGGGGUCCUUUAACUGACUUGCCUUUUUUCCUUGGUAGUCUUUUCUUCUGGAAUGAGGAAGCAGAAAGGUAGGGCUGCAUGGGCAAUUAACUUUCAGCUGAAGCAAGUAAAAGGAAAAAAAUGAUUUAGCGCUUAAUCUUUCCUAAAAGGGAGGAGUCUUUGAUUAAUAGUUACCUAUGCACAAUAAGUCCAGAGUCAAACCUGGAGCAGGGGCACCUGCACCAUGAGUAAUACCAUCUUCUCCCUCCCCCACUAAGUGUUACUGGUAAAUGGUAAAAUUCUAAGCUUGGGUUGGCAGUUUUACUGAAGCACUACAUGGGUUGAAAUUCAGGACAAUAUGUCACAUUUCUUUUAGUUGUUCAAAGCCUAGGCACCAAAAGUGAAAAAUGGAUUGCUGUCAAGAGGUUUUCUCCAUCUUUUUUUCUUUCCCUGACCUCUUUCAUGCCACCAUAGAAUAUAACCAGGCUACAAAAGAAAAUCAGUUUUAAUGAAUAACAACAACAAAAUGGAUCCAUAUAAAAAUGUUUCAUUUGCUCUUAUUGCAUUUUUCCAUUUUCUAAGUUUGGAGUAGUCACUGCCAUAUUCAUGUGACAGAAUUUAUUCCCUCUGGCACCAGCCCUGGAGGCUCCAUAGAGCCUAGAAGGCCAGGCCAGGCUGCUGGUGUGUGGAAGGUUUUAUGGCCUCAACCCACAGGGCUGGGCUUUAUCUUGCUCUCAUCCUGCAUGGAGAACACCCUAGCUUUAACACUCAAGGGGAGCAGGAGCCUAAAACAAUAUUAGCAGCCACAAUGGCACUUGUCAUGUCAAGAAUAUGUAAUCCAGGCCUUCAGCCUAGGCCUGGCCCAGGGAACUUGCAUAGCACUUAACAGGCUAAGGGAGGGAGCCUGCCCUUCUUUGGGCUUCCACCUUCCCUUAUCUUCUGUCAACAGGGCUAAGGCAAGGUUUUUGAAGAUGAGGUCUCUGAUGAUGCUAAGAUCUCAGCCUGACCAGCAGUACUGGACCAGCAAUACAGUAGAAAGCAGAAACCUUAGUGGUAAGGAUAGUGGAAACUUGCUUAGGAUUCUAUCUACCAGUAUCCAAAGGUAAUACAAAAAGGUCUCAGUUAAUUGUUUUCAGUGCAUAAAAAUAUAUGGAGAAAGUAUCCAGAACGUAUUAUAUACUCCAUUCCACUACCUUCUCUGCAGCCAGCCUUUUCUCCUGUGCCUCAGCACAAGAGAACCUGAAAAUCCAAGCCUUGCUGUUUGUAGGACAGCAGGCAUAAUUCCUUCUUUGACAAAUAGGAAAGAAGUGGUACCACAACCAUGGGAAUCUACCUCAGGACUGAAGUCCUAUCUGCCAUGGUACAGGGCAGUCUCAACCUUGGCGAGUAUGCCCAUCACCCCAAGUAUCUUGGGUGGGCCACAAAUAACUGCAGAGGAAGAGACCACACAUUAAUACCUAACAGGUCCUGGCGAGAACAGAAAAUUAACCAAAUAAUAGAGAAAUUAUGACCAAAGCCUGGGGGCAAAGAGAAAAGACUCCUCUGGGGCCAGCCUAGCCCUAAUCUGUCAGUCUUAGGGGAAUCUGGAGCAACCAGGUUGGGUUUGCUAUUUUACAGAUAGAAUGAAUAAUCCUAGAACAUUCUAAAGCUCUGCAAAAAUCACAACAACCAACUCAAGAGUCCAUAAGACUGCAACUUUCUAAAGCUACACCAUAUCCCAUCAGGGUUGCUGCUGAUGGGAAUGAGUCCUUAAGUAAGUUUAACAGUUUAGGUCAGCCACAAGCUAAAGAGCACAAUUCUGGUCCUGAUGUUUCUGACUAGCCUUUGUGGGACCAUGGUUGAUCCACCACUAAACAGUUCCUAUCUCCCCAAUCUUAACUUCACCUUUGUGAGUAUCUUAAACCUCAUUUUGACUUCACUGCUACCACCCACAAAAUUCAAAGAGUUUCUUCUCUCCUACCUUCUUUACAAAUACCUGAACAGCUUGUCUCUGAGUGUCUCAAACCACAUAGGACACCCCUUAGAGUCAUAUGUGUACUUAACAUAAUGUCCAUCCUGAAUCCUGACCUUGCUUUCUCUAACAGGAUUUUUUUCUCAUCAUUGAGGUAGCCACCAGGGUAGGCAAAAGGUUGAAUUCAAGGGCAAGGAAAAUAAUCUGGACCAAUAUUCCCUGAUCACUAGGAAUUGAAAGGAGAGGGAAAAGAGACAACUUUGCCAAGUGAGGGAGAACAGAUAAAUGCCCAGUGGGAUAAGGGAACAGACUGAGGAAAGUCCCAACUCAUGGCCUGACACACCUAAGCUAUAACUAGUAAAGAAGGGAAACAAAGGAAAGGGAUGGAAUGGUGGUAGCCUCUACAAGGUGUGUUGUCUUCAUCAGCAACGAGUUCGGGGAUGCCCAACAUAGGCCCGUAGUGUUUCCUGGAUGCCCCUCUGCCAAUCUCGUGCUAGCUGUACUGGUGUCAUUGCCUCCUGAGAGUAAAGGAAAAUCACAAAUACAUUUCAUUCUCUGCAGAAAGCUAAUCCCCGUAUCAGAGUGAAAAGCCCCUUGGCCAACCCUCUUAUACUCACAGCAUUACGGACACCCAGCUUGGCCCCAUAGAGCAGCAACAUCUUCAUAGCCUUGUAACGACCAUGCCUCACGGCCUCGUGUAAGGCUGUAUCUCCCUCCUAUAGGAACAACAUGUUAAGAGUUGGGCCCUCCCUUUAUUCCAAAGCCUUUUUAGCUUCCUGUCUCUCCCAAAUAUGAGAUGAGAAGAACUAGCUCAUAAUUCUAGAUUAUGAGGUGCUGUCAUCGAAUUAUCCUUGGAUAAUUCUUUUCUAAUUGGUGUCCUCAGGUCACCCUCAAUUACUGAGACAAUUUUCCUACCUUAUCCUGUGUAUCAAUUUGGGCCCCACAAGCAAUCAGGUGUUCAAGGCAGUCACAGUGUCCUGUUCGAACAGCCACAUGCAAGGGUGUACUCCAAAUCUAAAUAGGUGUAAAUCCCAGGUUAGGAAUUUGUUGAUUCUAGAUCAUUAACCUUACCCAAACAUCCAAAGCAUAUUAAACCUAGUAAGAGAAAUUUGUCCCCCAUGCAAACAAACCCUUUCAUUGAAGGAUUUAGAAUAUAGCACUGACACUCCUAGUUAGUAACACCUCUAUAUUUAUUCCCUGCCAAAACCUUUUUACCUUGUCCUGGGCAUUGACUUUAGCCCCAUGGUUGAGCAACUGUUUAAGGAUGUCCAGGUGCCCUCCACGGCAGGCCCAGAAUAAAGGUGUCCGGUCCAACUGUAAAACAAAGUCCUGAGGUUUUCAGAAAUGCCUUGGAAGGUACAUCUUUGGGAACAACUUUCCCAAUUCAGCCUCACUAGAAGAAAAGGGAUCUCCCAAUCUUUUAGCUCCUCCUCCCAACUUACCAUGUCUCGAGCAUCAACUAUGGCACCUGCUUCCAAUAGUUUGUCCACAAUCUGGCUGUGACCCUUCAGGCUAGCCCAGUGUAAGGCUGUUCGGUGGAACUGCAUGUGGAAAGAGGAAAUAAAAAUAUGGAUGGCUACUUUCUAAGAGGGCUAGAACUGAGGAGUUAUGACUCCUAUAGCUAGGUUUGAAUUCUAUGUCAAACACUAUCAUGUUUUCUUUUUUCUUUCUCCCCUACCGUGUCAUGAGCACUGGGGUCACCACCAUCUGCCAGGUACUUGUCAAUCAGGAGCUCUUGGUUUUCAGUAGCUGCCUUCAGAAACAUCUCCAGGUCCACAGACUGUAGCUGGGACAGGGGUUGCAACUGGGGUAAAGGGUAAGACAUGGAUUGUUCAAAACAGGCUAACACUUUGUGUUGUAGCCCACACUGAAAUGCUCCUGGGGCUCCAUUAGGUGCCUUUCCCACCAUUCUUUGGUCUUCCUCACUCACCUGAACUGGGGGAUCAGGUGCCUUGGGGGGGACCCUCCGUUUCAGGCGCUUUUCUUUCCGCUGUUGCACCAAGUUCUCCAAGUCAGCUAGACUCUCAAGCCUGAGCCUGGAAUUGUUAAAAGUCUCGAGCUGAAAUAGGAAAAAAACCAGAUCACACAUGUGGCAUAAAGAUGUUAGAAACUACUGGCAAUGGAGAAUAACUAUCAAAAGGGAUCCUGAAAACCUCUGAAGUCAUCAGCUAUAACUGUUUUUUGUUAUACCCUUCAGGUGGAAAGCCCAAGGUUACUGUCAGGCAUGGAUCUCCCAAGGUUCCACUAUACACCAGCCAGCAUUACCUCAGCAGCUCUCCAGCCAUCAAACUAACUAACACUCUCAAUCUCUCUCUCUCUCUCUCUCUCUCUCUCUCUCUCUCUCUCUCUCUCUCUCUCUCUCUCUCUCUCUCUCUCACAUACAGACACACACACACUCACUUUCUUCCUUUUUUCUUCUGUUAACUUUUGUCUCUCCAGGGCCACAGUCUCUUGGGGACCCAGUCCAGGGUCACCUCUCCAGCCUCCAGGAUCAAGGACUCCAUGUCUAAUUCCAAGAACUUUGCCCUCAGUUCUCUCACCACUUAUCUGUGAGGAAAAGGCAGAAGAGGGUGUCAGAAAGUUUCUAAAAGCCCUCUGAAAACAAUUGCGCAGGACCUGUGUUUGAAGCCAGUGGACAAGGGAGCCAAGAUUUGCCUGGAUUUGUGGCUCAGCUCAGCUAAGGGACAGGUUCUUGCUAACAGCAGUGCUUCCUGAGGAUUCAGGGAGUGGCUGACAGCCAUCUGCACUUGCACCUGUCCCUGCAGGGGGUUAUAAUCUAGUUUUAUUUAUAUGACAUUUGUCCCUGCAGUUGGGUAGGGUCACAUAAGGGUAGAAGAAAACUUCCAACAUGCGGAACAGAUGACAGCCAAUCACCACCCAAUCCCCCACUUGCUAUCAGGGGCAGACUGCCCCAGGGGCAAAAGUCCAGAUUCCUAGACUAUUCCAGGAAACAAACUCAUUCCUGUUUACUCCUUGCUGAAGGGCCAGGAACAGUGAGAAGGGCAGGAUAUAAAGAUGAGACUCAGGGUGGGGGUAAAAUAGAGCAUUUUUAGAGCAGGGGUUUGUAACUUGUGUCAUGGACACUCCACCUUGCUCCAGGCAGUCUGGUGAAGCUUAUGAACCCCUUCAGAAUGUUUUGAAAUGCAUAAAGUAAAAUACACAGGAUUGCAAACUAAACUAAUUAUAUUGAAGAAAAGUUUGUGGACCUCAAGUUAGGAAGCCCUGUUUUAGAAACUUCUAUGCGUCUAAUUUCUGCAGAAGUUGUAUUGACCUUUCAAUCUCUCUAACUAUAUGCAGUCUCAGUUGUCUCCGCCAAGGAGUAACUAGAGAAGUGCUGACUGAUAACAAUGCUCACCCAGCCCCAGUCCAGCUCCCUCCUACUUCCAUUGCCCUGUGCUCCUAGGAAAGUCCACUGUGGCCUAGGAGUUGAUGGGGCACUGGACUGACAGGAGAGCAGACUCUUGGCUUACUCUCUGCAAUUAUACAUCCAGUAGUGGACAACUCAUUUCAUUUCUCUGGAGCUUAAUCUGAUUAUUUACAAAAUGAGGCUGACUAGAUGAUCUCUAAGGCCCUUUUCUACUCUAGAUCACCCUACAAUCUAGGGUAGAGUCAUUACUACUCCUACAGCAAUAAUUAUUAGGAAUUGUGCUCUAGACAUGAUCCCACUCUGGCUUACCACAGCCCUCCUCCCAAUCCUAAUGGUCCAAAGCAUAACUCCCCCAAAACCCAAAGAGGUCUGUACACAUACCCUACCAACUCUAUCCUCACAACACAUUCUAUUUUCAGAUACUAGAACUGUGAUUAACAAAAAAACUGAUAAAGGGGGAUAGACUUGAGCGACUCAUGGUUCCUAAGGUCCUUACUCCCUUACCAGGAAUAGGCUUCUCUGGAAUUAAAUACAGCUACUUUUAGGCCAUCAGGAGGGCUAGCAAUAGGGUAACACAAAGGAACAUCUCUGUAAGAACUUUGGAACAUAAGCUGAUUAGGAAAAAUGGGGAAACAGAGUAGGUGCCAGCUUACUUGGCAUUAGUAUCCUGAAAUAUUUUCCUCUUUCUACUGCUAUCUAUACUCUAUUUUGGCAAAGCUGCCUUGAGACAGAAGUACAAACAGCUAAUUCUGGGAUUCCCUAUAUGAUACUACUAUUAGAUAUAAAAAAGAAUUUGAGAGCUUCCCACUAUCCACAGCCCCCUGCUUACCAAUUGCUGAAUGCUGAUGAAAUCCAUGGUCCCCCCCUGCUCUUCAUGCCCCACUAUGGCUAGCUGAGCUGCAGUUUGCUUUUUAUAUCAGCACUGCUGCCACGGAGAUAGAGGGCACAGGAAGGACCCAGUUUGACGCCAAGGCCCACAGGAUCAGAGAUAGUUCAGUGGUUCUGUAACUCUAACCAAAAUACCAGUCUUGAAAUAGGGUCUAGCUGAGGGCAGGAUAUGGUGUUAUGAGCUGAGGCCUCUUUAAAUACUGGCAAAUCAAUCUUAGCAGAGAUGACUCAGGGGAGUCUAGCCCAAGCGUAUGAGUGUAAGUAAAGCAGGACCAUAACCUCAAUGAUCACCCAUUUAAUCAGAGAGGAGGUCUAAGCUAAUUGUCCCCAUGUUAUUCUGCUGCACAAAUGCCUAAAGGAGUGGGAGAGUAACACCCUAUUUUGUCAAGAAAGAGGGGCAAGAAUCUAUGCCUUGAACUAUCUCUAAACACAACAGGGUGUUCAGCAAAAGCUCUUGUAAACCCAGAAGGACCAUUUUCAAAGGAAAGACUAACUUCAUCUGAUGACUGACCAAGGCUCUCUAUUCCCCACUGUCUGAUGCUUCCAUAACUCUUUCCAACAUCUCCCUAUUUUUCUUCUUCCGUAAAUCAUGAAUUUUGAAUUUCCUAAGCUAAAUGUACAGAAGCCAGGACUAACCAGUUGCCAACAGUACUCCAAAAAAGGAUGAUAACCCCAGGCAUGAAGUCUAGACAUGGCACCCUGUCAAUCUCUAAAUCAGUAGGUUAUGAGCACUUUUGUUUUCCUUUAUUAAAAAUGUUAAACCUAUAUUCCUAGGAACGAGUAGCAAGAAUCAGGGCUCCCCAACCAAUUGGCUCUGUCCAUGAACAGGAACCUUUUCCUCAUAACUGGCCUAAGAGAAGCUGUAGCUUGUAAAGAGUUCCUUUUCCAAGCCAAGAAAACCCAGUCCUGUUCCUCUUCCCAACCACCAAAAUCCAAUUCCAUAAUUUUCUUCCCCGAUUCCCCUGAAAUAGGCUAUGCCUAUUCCCCUUAGGGGUAGUUUGACUCUAUCCAGCUGGUUAAAAUCUUGGCUUUCAAUGGAAAAAUAGAUGCUAACAAAAGAUGAUUCCAGAACCAGACCAACAGAGGACAGCAAAGUCAGAGGGAAAAAGAACUAAAGUUCCUAAAGAUUCAACAGUGGCACAAAUUACUCUCCUGGACUCAGAUCAAGUUCAAAGGAGGCUACACUCACUGAGGAAGGAGUUAAAAGGAGGAGUUAGAGCUGGAAGAGAUCUUUGACAUCUUGUCUAACCAGCUCAUCUACAGAUGACAAAAGUAGUAAUGGAGGGGAUUUAAAACCAAAUUUCUAACUCCAAAUUCAGCAUUCUCUCCACUACACCAAGCUGCUUCUUGAAUUCUCACCUGAGUCAAGUAGUCCAAAAUGAGCAACACCAUCAGAGCUAUUUUUCUUUUAAGUGCUUUAAUGCUUUGUGGGAAUGUCCAAGCAGUCCAUGCCCUGGGAUUUUCUUUAUUCUAAUUAACACUUUGCUUCCUCAUACUUUUGACAAAUUUUAGAUCAUUCCUUACUUUCAGUUUUAAGAGCAUUAAGUUGUUUAUAACUGCCAUCAAAAUACUAAAGUAAAAAUAAGUGAUUCUAUUUUUCAUUAUCUGCCCCAUAACAAUGAGAUUAACUCACUGGGUUAUCAGAGGAAAAGGGGGAAGAAGCUGUUUUCUCCUUUAAGAAUUAUCUGGUCAAAAAAAAAAAAAAAGAAUUAUCUGGUCAAUGGAACUGACUCUGAACUAGGGAAAUACCUUAGACAGACAUCUCCACGUGUGCUAAUUUAGAAUAUGAUCACCUGUCAGGCUUGGGUGCCUGCACCAAGUUCCCUUCCUGACCUAGGCAGUGACCUCCCUCAAAAUGGUCCUAUCUCUUUUGUUCAGUCUCACAAGCCCUGAGUUUGUUUCCCAUUCUGUAGAAUACAGGGGCAAGGAAGGUGCUUGAGGAUCCAGGUUCCAGAACUCUUGCUGAGACAGGAAUCUGGUUAUUCAGCUAGCAAGCAGGUCUCGAAGGUCACUGUUGCAGGGCAGUAAGUCACAUGCUAAUCUAGCCUUUCGGUCUCGAACAGCUUUCAAAGCUGGGCUAUGCUGCAGCAGGAGGCAACAGAGAUCCAAGUGACCUCUCUCAGCAGCCUGUGAAGGAAAAGAAAGAGGGAAUCAAAGUUCUCCUAAGACAUACUAAAUCAGCCCUGCAAUUUCUUCCCUAAGGUUGUCCCCAUUGUUGUGUCCUGAAACCCCAAAAGAACCAACCAUCUUAUCUCUUAAAAGAAGACAGUCACUAUUUUAAUGUCCUGGAAAUAAAAUGGCUAUUCCAGUUUGA